UACGGGAGGAGCAGUGGGGAAUAUUGCACAAUGGGCGAAAGCCUGAUGCAGCUAUGCCGCGUGUAUGAAGAAGGCCUUAGGGUUGUAAAGUACUUUCAUCGGGGAGGAAAAAACAAAACUAAUAAUUUUAUUUCUUGACGUUACCCGAAAAAGAAGCACCGGCUAACUCCGUGCCAGCAGCCGCGGUAAUACGGAGGGUGCUAGCGUUAAUCAGAAUUACUGGGCGUAAAGAGCACGUAGGUGGUUUUUUAAAGUCAGAUGUGAAAUCCCUGGGCUUAACCUAGGAACUGCAUUUUGAAACUGAAAUACUAGAGUAUCGUAGAGGGAGGUAGAAUUCUAGGUGUAGCGGUGAAAUGCGUAGAUAUCUGGAGGAAUACCUGUGGCGAAAGCGGCCUCCUAAACGAAUACUGACACUGAGGGUGCGAAAGCGUGGGGAGCAAACAGGGAUUAGAUACC
rnacentral:rRNA from 1 species